AGAUGUUAAAAGCAAGAGACAUGGGAGAUCAUCAUUCCCUUGAGAUUUUAUAAAUCAAACCAACUUUGGAGUUGUCUGAUUUGGAGAGUCAUUAUUCUUGGUCUGCGCUCUUAGAGGCCACUGAUGAAGAACAGGCGGUGACUGGAUGAAUGCUGGUCAGAGAGGAGAAUCUUCUUUCCCCUAAACAGCGGUGGUUUUAAAGGAGGACGCUGCCCUGGAUGAUGUAGAAGAAGUCAGAUGCUGUGCUGAUGGGGUUUCUUCAUGACUACAUCAGUUAUGCUAAAGAGAUCAUGAAAAUUGACCGUGAUGCAUGAUCUGUAUUCAUGGACUAUGAAACAAACUGUAAGUGUAUAAUUUGUUAAAAAAAAAAAGUUAAAUGCUUUUUCUGUGUUUAGUAGAAAAGUUUACACUCUGUCAUUCAUACACCUGCUCACAUUCUUUCACACACACACACACACACAUGCGUCUGUUAAAGGUUAUAAUAUCAAAGUUAAUGUUGUGAUUUAUUUGUGUACUGUCAUGCCAGAAUAGUUGGAAAAAAAACUAACUAAUUGUAAAUUAAUUGUAUGUGUUUUCGUAUAUUUUUAUACAAUAUAUACAACUGAACAAAGUCCCAUUUGAUCUUAAGUUAUAUUCAUCAAAUGUUCAAUGCUUUGUUUAUGAACUCUGUAGCUGUUAAUGCCAUCCUUUUCUGCAUUUCUUCUAACAUGUUACUUUUUGACUUUUCUCUUGUUUUUAAUAAAUAUUUUCCUUUUGAUAAUUAUUAUUUGUGUGUAAAAGUGAUAUUUAAAAUGAACAACAUUUGUAGGUUUAAUGCCUAGCUCAAUUUGGGUUAAUUUUAACGUAGAAAUGCAUUGU